CUUUUAAAACUCCCCAAGCCCUGGCCAGGGCUCACCCUGAACCAAUUAAACCCAAAUGUGUGGAGGAAGAACUCAAUCAAGAGUAUGUUUUUAAAGGUCCUGAAGUGAUUCCAAUGUGCAACCCAACUUGAAAACCACUAACAGAAGCAAGAGAAAAAAAUUCAUAUUGAUGAGGCACCUAUCGUGUACCGGAUAUUUUACUACCACCAGAUGCUGUUGCAAAGAAGCUCUGAUAGAUCAAUAUUUUCACAUCAUCAAGCCUUAUUUCACAUUUCCAUAAGAAGCCAAGGCAAUUUCAGUUUGUUAAAGCUGUGUUAUGCCCAGUGGUUUGAGGACUGAGUUGCUAAUGGAAAAAAGAACAAGAGGAAGAAUCUUCUGGAAUGAUCCAUAUGCAGUGCUAAUUCUAAGCAUGAAAAAAUAAUAACUCAUUUUUAUUGAGUGGUCUCCACAUACCAAACUGUGCCACGCACUUUACCUACACGGUUGCAUUUAAUCCUACAGAGGCCUUGCACAUGGGUUUUAAAGUGUUUCAACAGUUGCAGGAUGACACAGUUCUGCUUUUCUAAAGGCUUCCCUCCUUCUGCCACUUUCCUAUCCACUCCGGCUGCAACAGCCAGCAAAUUCAGUCACCCAGCCAAGUGGGUGAGGAAGAAUGAAGAAACCUGAGCCAAGGCUGCGCCCUCCGAGGCAGUGGGAGUGGUGAGAAGGGCAGAGUGCCAAAGGCCUGGGAAACCGGCUUGUUGCUUCUUCAGCCAACCUCAUCUAGGGCUCUCUGGUGUGAGGUUGUGGCUGUGAAUAUCUUAUCAACAGAGACUCUCUCAACUUCAAUACUUCUGGCUCUGCUGUUAUUUUCUAGAGCGUGCAGAACUGGCCCUGGUAUUUCACCUGGCUUGCUUUGGUCUCAGCAGCGCUUCCUAAAUAAAGAAUAUGCGCAUGAUAUAUACUGAGGGGAUGGAUUAGAUUGUUUGGGUUCAAAUUCUGGCUGUGCCACUUACCUGUAAUGUGACCUUGGACCAGUUCCUUAAGCUCUCAAUAUUUCUGCUUCCUCAACUGUAAAAUGGAAAUAAUAA
rnacentral:lncRNA from 1 species